UACGGGGGGGGCAAGCGUUGUUCGGAAUUACUGGGCGUAAAGGGCUCGUAGGUGGCCAACUAAGUCAGACGUGAAAUCCCCAGGCUCAACUUGGGAACUGCGUCUGAUACUGGAUGGCUUGAAUUCGGGAGAGGGAUGCAGAAUUCCAGGUGUAGCGGUGAAAUGCGUAGAUAUCAGGAGGAACACCGGUGGCGAAGGCGGCUACCUGGACAGAAACUGACGCUGAGGCGCGAAAGCUAGGGGAGCAAACAGG
rnacentral:rRNA from 1 species